rnacentral:misc_RNA from 1 species
CUGAGUUUUAAACUCCCAAACCAUUGUGAACUUACCACUGUUGCCUCGGCGGCAGUCCUCUUCUCACGAAGUAGGCGGCCGCCGGUGGACUACUAAACUCUUGUUAAUUUUUGUCAAUUCUGAAUUAAAAACUUAAUAAGUUA